rnacentral:tRNA from 8 species
UCCUCUGUAGCUCAGUUGGUAGAGCAACGGACUGUUAAUCCGUGGGUCACUGGUUCGAGCCCAGUCGGAGGAGCCA